UAAGGUCGUGACUGUUGUUCCUCCGCGCUAUUAUAUAAAUAAUUUGUUUGUUCGUUACGUAGCGAUGUGGGACUACAUUUGACUCUUCUACUAGUCUCUUGAACGGGGUUUCUGAGGUUUGUUGUCACGUCUUGUUACUGUUUAUGCUCGUCAAUUUGGAAAAACGUUUGAUAAAUUUAUCUAAACUUAUUGUUGCCAUACUAUAUCCCUUUCUGAUGUUCUUUGUAUAUUUUAGAACUGACUCCAAAGUCAGUGGUAAAGCGAUGCAAUCAGAGAUAGCUUCAUAGCUUAUACAGUAUAUAUUAACUUGUUGAAAAACAAAAGUAUAAAAUAUAAAUUUCACUAUUUUUAAUUGCAUAAUCUUAACUAAUCCGUUAACCACACGAAUGCGCACAAAUUUAUUUAGAUCUAUGCCAAACCAUUAUUUUCUCUGCUUUGGCUGGUUCAACUAUUAUACACUAAAUCAAUAUUGUUCUUCGUGCUCUAGCAAUAGAUUUAUCUCAUGUCAAAGUGCUUUCCAAGGGAACCAAUGAAAUGAAAAAUCUGCAAACAUUAUGUAACCUAUUUUAUUGAUAGUAAUAGUAUUGUACUAUAGUAUAGUACAUAAAUCAACUAAAUAAAUAUACAUAGGAAGAGCAAAUAUUUGUUAAUGUGAUUUAUGAGAGAUUAUCAUGCUCAAUAACUUGUGCUCCUCUCCAUUCUUCACCAGGAUUCACAGUGACAGGCACCAAUAUUGAAGCAGGACCAGUGCAUACAAAAUAAUCUUUUCCAUAUUUCUCUGACUUGGAACCAGGGCUUGACACAUAAAUAUCCUCAAAUCCCAUUCUUAUCACCCUGUAGAAAAUCUCACGUCCCUGAAAAAAAUACUAUUCAGGUAUGCAGUGUCUGUAUAAUUUUUCUUUUUUUUUUAUUGUUAACCAAUUAGAAAUAAUCUUUUGUGUGACUUUUUGAGUAAUUAGUUUAAUAGUCAAUAUUUUUCUUAUGAUUAGUUGAAUUUGUAAAAAUUCAUGUAUCAACUAUGUGACAACUUAUGUAAAAAAUAUUGUAUUAGAGUUAAAUUCAUGACUCUAACCUGAUCAAUGAUUUCAUAUUUUGAAGGCGGUGUAUUAUAAAACGCCUUUGAUCUUUCUUUAGGAGGUGCAGCAUAAACUCUACUCAUCUUAUUCUCAAGAAGAGUAAUAGGGACACCUUGUUGAGUCCAUGAACCUGGCUUCACUUGAGGUUCAGCACCAAAUGAAAUGAAUCUAUUUGGCUCAGAUUUUAUUGCUUCUGAUGGAGUCAAGAUUUGAAAAGGGGAAGCAAGAGGAGGGAGUGAGGAGUAUGAACAGGUUUGAAGACCUUUGAUUGCAGCUCCACCUCUUCUGUUAAAUCUAAAAUGGCUUAGUAUAGCAUUGUUUAGAGUAACAGGUUUUGGAGAUUUGUUCUUAACUAUAACUGCUGUGGCCAUGCUCACUGGAUAAAGGCUCACAAUGUAAGUGAUGUCAAAAAAUCUGUUAGUACUGACCAAUUCAACCUGCAGAAAAGAUAAUAGAAGCAUAAACAUUAAACAACAACAACCAAGUUGAAUCAGUAUUUCCCUGUCACUGUGCUAGCAAAAAGUAAAAGAAAAAAUAGAUUAAUUCAAUAGUUGUGUUUAAUGUUCAUUAUGUACUCCCUUAGAUCUUAGAUCUAUAGUAUAAGUCACCCUAGAAGAAAAAAAAAAACAUUGUAGUAUCUUAUAUGUCAUUUCACAUAUUGGACGAAUUGUCCUUUACAAUCCCAAUUCAAUUUCUAGGAUAAACAAUAUUUAGAAAGACUUUACUUAUCUUUAGGCUAAUGUAUACAUUCAGGCGCAUCGGUGACCAUUGAAUCGAGAUUGAAAAAUCUAGAUUUCAAAUUUAGUAUUUUAGUUUUUUUUUUAAUUAAAAUCUAUACUAAAAUUCGAACCGUCCAAUCUCGAUCCAACGGUCACCAACGCACUGAAUGCAUGAAAAUGUUGACCACCGCAAAUCCAACCUUGGGAAACCAGAGGGUAAGAAUUAUAAAUAUGUAAUUUUACAAUAUCAAUGAAAUAUCAAUAUUUUUUCCUAUUAUACUUCUAACUAUUUAUUAUUCUCUUUUUUCAAUUCAUACAACCUCUCUUUCUCAUAUCAUUAAUAUAAGAUAAUUUUAUAAUGUAAGUCAUAUUUUUUUUUAUAAAAGCAAUUAACAAAGCUAAGUAUAUUUCUUAAUCAAUCUGUCAUUUACUAAAGUGACCUAUAUUGUAGGAUGAAGGGAGUAUAAUGUAACUGAUAAUUCAGCAGUUUCAAGCAAAAGGGUAUCUAAUAAUCUAUGAAAUAAUACCUGUAGAGCAUCAAUGGC
rnacentral:lncRNA from 1 species